AUGGGCAACUGCAGCAGCUUCAGUCUUCCAAAAUGGAUAUUCGGUGAUCUGCACAACAAUGGCAUGGUUUCCAUUGAAGGGGAUGGAACUCAUGAAGGCAUAAAGACGAUCCGGAUUCAGAAAGCUUGCGAGUUCACAGCCAGCUCCGUGCUUUGUGUCUGCAUUAUCACAUGGAACAUGAAUGGCAAGAUGUCUGUGGAGGACAUAAGAAAGCUGGUGAGCUCCACCAGGAAGUUCGACUUGCUGGUUGUGGGGCUGCAAGAAGUCCCGAAAUGUGGCGUCGAACAAGUUCUGCAAGAAGCCAUGGCUGAUACACACAUCUUGUUAUGCCAGAAGGCCAUGCAGUCUAUUCAGAUGUUUCUUUUCGGGGCAAAGAGUUCGGAAGCGUACAUCAAAGAAAUGAAGGUGGAUGAACACGCAGUCGGAGGCUGCGGUGGCGUAAUUGGGAGGAAGAAAGGAGCUGUGGCCAUGUACGUAAACUUUAGUGGGAUCCGGAUGGUGUUUGUGUCCUGCCAUCUUGCAGCCCAUGAACGCAAGGUGGAGAAGAGGAACUCUGAAUGCCGGCAUAUUUCGCACUCGCUGUUCUCCAAGAAUGACAUACAUUAUGCCAAAUCUGCCGACAUAACAGUGUGGCUCGGUGACUUGAAUUACAGAUUAGAAGGAAUAAGCUCGAUGCCAGCAAGGAAAAUGAUCGAGGAGAAUCGCCAGAGUAAGCUAAGAGACAGAGACCAGCUGCUGCAAGAAGCUGAGAAGGGUCAAGUCUUCCAUGGGUACUGUGAAGGGACCUUGUCUUUUAAGCCAACAUACAAAUAUAAUGUCGGAAGUAGCAACUACGAUUCAAGUUACAAGAUCAGAGUGCCAUCUUGGACAGAUAGGAUAUUGUUCAAGGUUGACCAUUCUUCUGGCUUGGAUGCGGUGUUAAGUUCAUAUGAAGCACUUGACUGUGUUAGCAGCUCUGAUCACAAGCCUGUGAAAGCUCAUCUUUGUCUGAAAGUAUGUGGUGGUGAUUCAUAG
rnacentral:rRNA from 1 species